rnacentral:rRNA from 1 species
AUUGAACGCUGGCGGCAGGCCUAACACAUGCAAGUCGAACGAGUGGCGGACGGGUGAGUAAUGUCUGGGAAACUGCCUGAUGGAGGGGGAUAACUACUGGAAACGGUAGCUAAUACCACAUACCAUCGGAUGUUCCCAGAUGGGAUUCGCUAGUAGGUGGGGUAAUGGCUCACCUAGGCGACGAUCCCUAGCUGGUCUGAGAGGAUGACCAGCCACACUGGAACUGAGACACGGUCCAGACUCCUACGGGAGGCAGCAGUGGGGAAUAUUGGACAAUGGGCGAAAGCCUGAUCCAGCCAUGCCGCGUGUGUGAAGAAGGCCUUCGGGUUGUAAAGCACUUUCAGUUAGGAGGCGUUACCAACAGAAGAAGCACCGGCUAACUCCGUGCCAGCAGCCGCGGUAAUAC